rnacentral:rRNA from 1 species
AAUAUGUGACAAUGGGCGAAAGCCUGAUCCAGCCAUGCCGCGUGCGUGAAGAAGGUCUUCGGAUUGUAAAGCACUUUAAGUUGGGAGGAAGGGCAGUAAGUUAAUACCUUGCUGUGUUGACGUUACCGACAGAAUAAGCACCGGCUAACUUCGAGCCAGCAGCCGCGGUAAUACGAAGGGUGCAAGCGUUAGGCGGAAUUAGUGGGCGUAAAGCGCGCGUAGGUGGUUUGUUAAGAUGGAAGUGAAAGACACGGGCUCCACCUGGGAACUGCUUCAAUAACUGGCAAGCUAGAGUAUGGCAGAGGGUGGUGGAAUUUCCUGUGUAGCGGUGAAAUGCGUAGAUAUAGGAAGGAACACCAGUGGCGAAGGCGACCACCUGGGCUAAUACUGACACUGAGGUGCGAAAGCGUGGGGGGCAAACAG